rnacentral:rRNA from 1 species
GAUGAACGCUGGCGGCGUGCUUAACACAUGCAAGUCGAACGGGAUCCAAGGGGUGCUUGCACUUUUUGGUGAGAGUGGCGAACGGGUGAGUAACACGUGAGUAACCUGUCCUUUUCUUUGGGAUAAGCAUUCGAAAGGGUGUUUAAUACCUUAUGUUCUGUCUGCCUCGCAUGGGGUGGGUGGGAAAGGCUUUGGCCGGAUUUGGGUGGGCUCGCGGUCUAUCAGCUUGUUGGUGGGGUGAUGGCUUACCAAGGCUUUGACGGGUAGCCGGCCUGAGAGGGUGGUCGGUCACAUUGGGACUGAGAUACGGCCCAGACUCCUGCGGGAGGCAGCAGUGGGGGAUAUUGCACAAUGGGCGAAAGCCUGAUGCAGCGACGCCGCGUGGGGGAUGGAGGCCUUCGGGUUGUAAGCUUCUUUUGCUCUGAACAAGGCAUGCCAGUGGGUGUGUUGAGUGUAGGGGUUGAUUAGCGCCGGCUAACUACGUG